rnacentral:lncRNA from 1 species
UAGCUGGCGCCCUCCUCCGUGAAGCCCUCCUCCCAGCCGCGGGGCAGGUCUGCGGAAACGCCAGAAAAGUCGGGUCAAACUUGGGCCGCCGCUGCGCGCGCCCCCCACCCGCCGGCCCGGCGCCCACCUGAGCGGAUCAUGUGGCCCGAGUUGACGGGCUCCCCGGUGCGCGGAUGCAGCCAGGUCGUGCAGCGGAGCUGGUCACUGCGGGCAGAGAGGUGCACCUGUUAGCGCCGCCACAGCCCGCCGGGUGCCCGCCCGGCCCCCGCCCCCGCGCCCCCACCCGCGUCCCCGCGUCCCCGGGUCCUCGCGCCGCACUUGAUGAAGAAGACGCGGCCAUCCCGGCACACCCCGUAGGACCAAUGCUCAGGCCAAAGGUGUCCAAACUAUACAGACCCACAGAAUCUAACAACAGAUGUCUCAAUAUUCCUCGUCCUAGAACUCUCAGAGGAUCCAGAACUACAGCCGGUCCUCGCUGGGCUGUUCCUGUCCAUGUGCCUGGUCAUGGUGCUGGGGAACCUGCUCAUCAUCCUGGCCGUCAGCCCUGACUCCCACCUCCACACCCCCAUGUACUUCUUCCUCUCCAACCUGUCCUUGCCUGACAUCGGUUUCACCUCCACCAUGGUCCCCAAGAUGAUUGUGGACAUCCAAUCUCACAGCAGUCAUCUCCUAUGCGGGCUGCCUGACUCAGAUGUCUCUUUUUGCCAUUUUUGGAGGCAUGGAAGAAAGACAUGCUCCUGAGUGUGAUGGCCCUAUGACCGGUUUGUAGCCAUCUGUCACCCUCUAUAUUAUUCAGCCAUCAUGAACCCAUGUUUCUGUGGCUUUCUAGUUCUGUUGUCUUGUUGUCUCAGUCUUUUAGACUCCCAGCUGCACAAUUUGAUUGCCUUGCAAAUUACCUGCUUCAAGGAUGUGGAAAUUCCUAAUUUCUUCUGUGACCCUUCUCAACUCCCCCACCAUGCGUGUUGUGACACCUUCACCAAUAACAUAGUCAUGUAUUUCCCUGCUGCCAUAUUUGGUUUUCUUCCCACCUCGGGGAUCCUUUUCUCUUACUAUAAAAUUGUUUCCUCCAUUCUGAGGGUUUCAUCAUCAGGUGGGAACUAUAAAGCCCUCUCUGCCUGUGGGUCUCACCUGUCAGUUGUUUGCUUAUUUUAUGGAACAGGCGUUGGAGGGUACCUCAGUUCAGAUGUGUCAUCUUCCCCCAGAAAGGGUGCAGUGGCCUCAGUGAUGUACACGGUGGUCACCCCCAUGCUGAACCCCUUCAUCUACAGCCUGAGAAACAGGGAUAUUAAAAGUGUCCUGCGGCGCCUGCACGGCAGAACAGUCUAAUCUCAA